AGUGCUUUUGAAUCGUGCACUAUAAAGGAAAGGGUGGAAAAUAAGGCAACACCAAUAGAAUGUGCUUAAUCUCUAUGUAAUUAAUAUAUAAGUUGAGACAAUAUACAAAUAAAAAAUGCGGUGUACAUACUUUUAAUAGUACACGAUACAAUAGAAAUUGAGAUAACUAUAUCAAGAAUAUACAAUAGAAAUUGUGUCUAUCCUAGUUGCACUCAGGCUUUAGCUAAUUUUCCACAAACUCUAGAGUUUCCUUGUAGUUGGAGAACUCGUACAAUAUCAAGCUCGUGUCGAGCUUUUCUGCUUGUAUAUGGCACAUUAUGUGCACUAAUUACUUGGUAUUGGAUAUAAAGUCCUGACCUAUUUAAUCUCAUGCUUGAUGUGUUACCUAAAAUUGCAAAAAUUAGAGUUUCAGUAGGGAUUAACAAAAGGCAGCCAAAAUCUUAAUCUUAAUACAAAACAGAAAACAAUGAUAAGGGUCAAAUUUGCUCACCUAAAAUCACUCUUUUAAGGUCGCAGUCCCGUUGAUAUUGAAAGCUACUCCCAGUUUCUCUUCUAAGAAUGAGACUCGUAAGGUUCAUGUUCAAUUAAGUACCUUCCAAAUUUAUAUUAUAAACCAAAUUGUUAUGGCUUGACAUAUUUAAAGGGAUUAUGUCCUAGUACGUGAACCAACAAAGGCUUCUAAGAAUGAGACACUUAAGGUUCAUGUUCAGUUAAGAAAAAAUGGCAAGGGAAAACAUGUAUAUCAGAAUGCUAAGGGAAAACAUGGAAAGCCACUCCUUCAUCAUGGCAUUGCUAAUCUUGCUACAUUCUCUCAACAAUAGUUAAUAGCAACUUUCCAACUUCAUUCUCGUUACUCGCCCUUCAAAAAAGUGAAUGUGUUAAAAAUGUCUGGGAGAGCAAUCAAACAAAUCAAAACUAUAGGAUUACCAAACUGACCAAGCAUUGCUUCUAUGCAAAUUUCUAAAAUCAAACUAUAGAACUCCAAAACCAAACCAAUGAAAAACUCCAAAACCAAGUCUUAUACACGAAAAAGCUAACAACCCAUUGCACUAUCCACUAUAUGUACUUGAACACUAUGUAUUCUGCUUCUUCCAAAUCAGCCGGGAACAAAAUUAAAUUACGACAAUCAAAAUACAUAAAACUUCUACUACCUUUGCAAGAAGCAAGAUGAAUGGAUCUUCACUCACCUAAUAGCAUAAAAUACAAUCAUAAGUACAUGUUCAAGUAAAUUUAAAGUCAAAACGGCUAAUUGNNN
rnacentral:lncRNA from 1 species